GCUUGUCUCAAAGAUUAAGCCAUGCAUGUCUCAGUAUAAGUUCCUGUACGGCGAAACUGCGAAUGGCUCAUUAAAACAGUUAUAGUUUAUUUGAUGGUCGUUCCUUACAUGGAUAACCGUGGUAAUUCUAGAGCUAAUACAUGCUAUCAAGCCCGACUUCUUGAAGGGUUGUAUUUAUUAGACUUAAGCCAAUAUUCCUUGUGUCUAUUGCGAUGAUUCAUAAUAACUGAUCGAAUCUCAAAUUUGAGAUAAAUCAUUCAAGUUUCUGCCCUAUCAGCUUUCGAUGGUAGUGUAUUGGACUACCAUGGCAGUAACGGGUAACGAAGAAUUAGGGUUCGAUUUCGGAGAGGGAGCAUGAGAAACGGCUACCACAUCUAAGGAAGGCAGCAGG
rnacentral:rRNA from 1 species